UUGACAGCUCAGAUAAAUAAUUGUGAUGGGUCCUCACUGUGUAGUGCUUAUGGAAGUUGCGACGUUAAUAAUUCCCCUGCCUGUGGAUGCUUGAAGGAUCUGUGACGAAAUAUCCUCAGUAUUGGACAAUGUUGGACUGGUCGGGUGGGUGCGUGAGGAAGACGCCGCUGGAUUGCCGGCAAGGAGAAGGGUUUUUGAAAUACCCGGGCACGAAGUUGCCAGACACACAGCAUUCAUGGUAUAACAAAGACAAUGAAUCUUGAAGAAUGCGAGAAGGUCUGAUUGAAAAACUGCCCUUGCACUGCGUAUUCGAACAUGGACAUUAGUGGUGGCAGCACCGGCUGCAUACUUUGGUUCGGUGACCUGAUAGAUAUCAGAGAUUAUGCUGACAAUGGGCAAUAUAUUUACAUGAGGCUGGCUGCCUCUGAAUUAGGUAAGGAUUCCUUUGUCUUACUAGAAGACUCGAGCCUCUGGUGCUUAUGAUAAUUAUCCUUUGUAAAUGCAUGUAUUAACAUUGUAAAUCAUUUCGCUGCUAAUCCAUUUCUGAGUUUGAUGUCUGAUGCUGAUUGAUCUGGAUUUGUGGUCACUAUGCAGCGGCAUAUAGAAGCUCAAAAGGGAAAAGACGAGCUUAGAUCAUAGUUAUCCCGGUAUUAUAUUGAGGAUUACUCCUCAUUGGCCUAUGCCUGGUCUUGAAUAUCUUAAAGAAAAAGAGGAAGAAGAGGAAAAGCAGAGAAGGUUAGAAUUUUUUAAGAUUCCAGUAAGUUUUGGCUCGUGUGAAUGUGUUUUAAUGAUUUUUCACUUACACUGUCGCCACAUGAGUGUCGCUUGGAACCAAAUAGAAGGAAUUAGUUUUCUUCUGCAGUAGUUUGAGAGUAUCUCUGCGCUAUCUGCAUGAAUAACAGACUACUUAUACAUCUUUCGUUCAUGAAUUUUGGAAAGAAAAAGAAAACUUUCAACCUAGACUUUUUUGUCUCAAGAAAGACUUGAACCGGAAGUAUCUUUCCAUAGAAUCAACUGAAUUCUUGUUAUUUAAGGAAAACAUUCUGCAUUCUUAUUCUCAUGUCCCAAUAAGCCGGGACAGUGAGGCUUUGGACCAGUCUAAAAGGUAUUAACAUGAUUUAUACCAAAAGACUACCUAGCAUGUAUGGAUGCUUUUUAUCGCUUAAGAAAAUUACUAAGGUAGAUCAAACCGCAAAAUUUUGCCAAAAUAUUGCGGGGUAUAUUGGAAUAUGGAAAAGAAAUAGAAGGGAAGAGGCUUUCAAAAAGUUCUCGACAUGGACUCGAAAAUUUCAAGAAUAAAGUACUAUGUAUAUCGAAACUUCAGCACCAGAACCUGGUAAUGCUUGCUGCAUUCAAGAAGAAGAAAGGAUGCUGAUUAUGAGUACAUGCCAAACAAAAGCUUGGAUUACUUCAUAUUUGGUAGGCUCCUUAAAACCUUUAGAAACUCAAACUUGAUGAGGCCUAUGUAAGCUCAGACAGGCUUAUUAGUGAUAAACCUCUGACAUGUCCAUCACCAAAUUUAGCUCCUAGAUUUCUGUCUAGAAGGCUAGCGUCAUACUAGAAGUGCACAAUUUCCACUGGCAGCACAACUGACUGACUUGCAUGAGAAAACAUGUGCUGAUCAAAAGCGAAGGACAUCAUUGGAAUGGCAGAAGCGAGUUCAGAUUAUAAAUGCAAUUGCCCAGGGGUUGUUAUAUCUUCACCAAGAUUCCAGAUUGAGGAUCAUCCAUAGAGAUCUGAAAGCUAGCAACAUCCUACUAGAUCACGAGAUGAACACAAACAUCUCAGAUUUUGGCAUGGCUAAAGGUUUUGGAGCAGAUGAAAGUGAAGGAAAUACUAACCGAGUUGUCGGGACAUAUGGUUACAUGUCUCCAGUGUAUGCAAUCGAUGGCCUGUUCUCUAUAAAAUCCGAUCGAUUCAGCUUCAGUGUAUUGGUGCUAGAGAUUGUAAGUGGGAGGCGAAACAGAAAAUUCAGCCAUCCUGAUCACAAGCAUAACCUACUUGGCCAUGUACAUAUUCAUAACCCGACCAACCCUCUGUUAUACAAAUUCCUGUCAUUUUCGCAGCAUA